UCAAACGGGGGGUUAGGUCCAGGGCGGACCGGGUCAGAUCCGACCCGGUUUAUUUGUUACUAACAACAAACAAACUCGGAAACCCUAAGCCAGAAUCAUGGCCGCUCAACAGAGUUUGGAAACAACGUGUAACCAAACGAAAAACUUCUUCCUCUUCAUAUCGAUUUCGGACUCCUUCCCGGAUUCCAUUUGACUUCUCACCGUGAUUUUGGCCGACCAACACAAUACACCUGUGAUGGCGCCUCCUCGCCCAAGAGAAACUCAGAAAUCCCGCGUGAGAUAGGAACCGAAAGUGUAAGUCGAACCUCACCCAAGUGAAACUCGGAAACCCCUUUUAUUCUACCAUUAGCAAAUCAAAAAAAUUUGGACUUCGUCCUCUCUAAUCGCACAAAGGAAUCGACAGUAACAAUAUCAUAUUUUGUUAGGCAAGUCAAGAAGUCAUGGGGGAACACUACGCAUCAGAGACGUAACAAUAUCAUCGAUGAAACAACAACAUUAAAGACAAUGAUGAUUUCAUACUGGUUCAUUUGUUCACAGGUUGUCAUGAUUACAAGGAUUCGCGGCAUCAGUUAUAAGGAUUUGUGGCAUCGGUAAAAAAGGGAGUGGUAAGAUUAGAAUAAAAGUAAAGAAGUUUUACCUACAGAGAAGAUACCAAGCCUGCACAGGUGUUCCAGGACAAGGUAUGUACAAAGCCAAGUUGUUUCUACAUAUGAAUACAAGAAGAAAAAGACAAAACACACUUGGCAACUAUGAGGAAACCACAUUCCUAGGAUAUUAUUUUUUUGUAAUUUUUUCAAUUCCUUAAUGUAUUCAAAAAUGUAGAAUUCUUGGGACAAAAAGUGUAAAACAAAAAUGUGAAUUUAUUCCUCUUUUUGGAUUA